UACGGGGGGGGCAAGCGUUGUUCGGAAUUACUGGGCGUAAAGGGCUCGUAGGCGGCCAACUAAGUCAUACGUGAAAUCCCUCGGCUUAACCGGGGAACUGCGUCUGAUACUGGAUGGCUUGAGUUCGGGAGAGGGAUGCGGAAUUCCAGGUGUAGCGGUGAAAUGCGUAGAGAUCGGGAGGAAGGCCGGUGGCGAAGGCGGCGCUCUGGAACGUUUCUGACGCUGAGGCUCGAAAGCGUGGGGAGCAAACAGG
rnacentral:rRNA from 1 species